GAGAAGAGAGCAAGGUGUAGCCAAGGACAAACUUGCCGGAUCAACAGACAGACUGCCAGUCUCCGGCCAAUUAAUUAACCUCGCCGUCGCCGGCGGCCAUCGCCGGCCGGCAAGUCAUCCUUGGCUGCAUCCUGCUCUCUGCC
rfam:Oryza glaberrima chromosome 8 Oglab08_0031_8, whole genome shotgun sequence.